rnacentral:rRNA from 1 species
AUUGAACGCUGGCGGCAUGCUUUAUACAUGCAAGUCGUGCGGCAGCGCGGGGCAACCUGGCGGCGAGCGGCGAACGGGUGAGUAAUACAUAGGAACGUAUCCUGAAAUGGGGGAUAGCUCGGCGAAAAGCCGGAUUAAUACCGCAUACGCUCCACGGAGGAAAGCAGGGGAUCGCAAGACCUUGCGUUUCUGGAGCGGCCUAUGUCUGAUUAGCUAGUUGGCGGGGUAAUAGCCCACCAAGGCGACGAUCAGUAGCUGGUCUGAGAGGAUGAUCAGCCACACUGGGACUGAGACACGGCCCAGACUCCUACGGGAGGCAGCAGUAGGGAAUUUUGGACAAUGGGGCAACCCUGAUCCAGCCAUGCCGCGUGAGUGAAGAAGG